ensembl:lncRNA
GGGGAACAGUCACACCCGUUUUAAUUGUAAUUUUGGAAAGACUGGCUGAUUUUAUUAUCAUUUUUUUUGAGGGGCUGGAUUGAUUGCGUGAUGAGGUGCUGCAUGCACCAGGAUGCACACUGCGCUAAUCUAUAUUAAUCUGGAGUUUAAAUUUGGAGUUCGUCAUCCAUAACUCCGUGAUGAAUCAGAGUCAUUUGGGGGGGUAAAAAGGGGUGACGUAUGCGACUUUUCUAAAAAAGAAACAUAUUACCCGUGACAUAAUUGUUGUGCAGGAUAUAUCGCACCAGGAAGGUUUUAUUCAUUUUACACGUGCAGUAUUCAUACUUUGUGCAGGUGUUUAACAUGUCGGAUAACCUUCAAGGUCAGUCCUUAAUAAGUAAUAAGAAAUAAGCAAAUUAGUGCAUAACUACCGAAGCGUGUCUGUUUGCGCGAAUAUAUUCAAGGCGUCAUUUUCCUUUAAGCCGUAAUCGCUGUAUUCAACAAUAACGACGACAAAUAAAGAUGCAGAUUAUUAAAAUCUCACAUGAAUAAUAAGGUCAUAAUCCUGCAUUCGUUUUUAGUAAAGGAACGAAUCCGUCGCGUCACUGGUGGUCCGUUGUGUGUGGGCGUGGCCGGUCCAGCACCCUCUACCUUCUUAAGCUAACGCGUUGGAAAACAAGUCAAAUAACACGCUAAUUAGCGCGAGAAUCUUUUUGAACGACGCGAUGAACGAUCACCUGUCGCGUUGUCGCUCGCUGGUGCAAAAACCUGGAGUUUUUAAACGUGUUUUGUCGCUGGGGAAAUGUAGCCGCGGAAAAAGUUUCGGAAAUCUUAUAAGUAAGAAGAUUUUUGUCGAAGGUUUUUAUUAGGUUAAGACGUGUCGUGGUGUAAUAACGUGAUAAACAAAUACGUCCUGGUGGAAUUUAGGUUAAAAGCGAUCCUAGUAAAAAAGACAAAAUCAGCACGGAAGCUAAAUUUAUGUCAAUGGAUUUCGGAAUCGCGCGCUUUGCCGUGUAGCUGUCGUGAUCGUCCUCGUAUUAUAGAUAAAUAAUUCUUAAAAAAAAAAAAAAACCCUGAACAAUGUCUGGAAAUCUACCGUAAACUCUAAAACAAGGUAAGCUAAGCUACGUAGCUAUGUUUAGGGAAAUGAGUAAAAUCUGCAGAUUUGUACUUGGUGAAAAAGACAGAUCUCUGGUUUAACGUUAGCUUGAAAAAGUUUAGUCUUGGAAGAAUAAAUGCAGAAAGUUUCUAACCAGCCACUCGUAGAUGAACUUGUAUUGAAUGAUUUCAUAGCUACAUAGUAGCUCGAUUAAUUAGCUAGUGCUCCGGGAAACUAAAAGAUUCAUCGUACCUGCCGUGUUUUUAUGUUUCGGCUGCACGGAAACUUUAACUAGGAUGCAAUGCUAGCUAAUGUGAUUCUAACCCGAAGUACGACGAGCUACGGGUUAGCACUAGAAACCUCCGGACCUGGUCUGUAUUUCCUCCUGAACGAGGGCCGUAUUCAGAGUCGUGAUCAGGUCCAAAAAGUUCGAUGUUCACGCGAGGGAAGUUCCUGGUGUUCAGAGUUGGGUUACACCGCUGAUUAAGAGCUGCACGUUCGGAUUAUUAAAAUCACCCGCGUGUAGCUGACGUUUCUAGGCGUGGCUCGAGUGGAAGCGUACGAGGCUGGGUUUCUCAGUAGCGGCCCGAUCACACGAGCGUUCUCCUUUACACCUGAAGUGAUCGAGGACUGAAGAAGCGUUACGGGGAAUAGCCAUGAAAUAAGAUGUCACCCGUGUGAUACUGCAUGAAUAGUCCUAGUUGUAGUUCUCUCAUUGAUUCCAUCGAAACAAAAUGGCUUCCACACUCAUGACUCGGCAGCACGUACCGUAGAAUAGCACCUGAUCCAGCGCGGACUGUUUCGAUACGUGUCACACGUGCACACAGCUGAGUGACGUGAUAGUAAAUCCAGGUCAUGAAAUUCCCCUCCGCUGAUGUUCGAAACUGACCGAUCGAGCGCCGCCGCCGAAUCUGGGUCAACGUUAGCGAGACAUAUGGCAGGCUGGGUCAUACCGUGUAUCGUCCGACCAUUUUUCAUUCCCGUCGCAGCGGUCUUUUGUGCUUCUCGAGGUUUCGAUUGCUCACUUUAUGCAAAUAUGUUUAGACUCCACCACGAGCGCGCGGUAAGGAUCCAGAGGACGUGGCGCGCCGCCGCGUAGCGCCCGCUGUGAGUUCAGACCGAGACUAAUGCUUCUCGACGGAGCACUUGUCAUAUUUUUUUCUUUGUGAAGUGUUCUGUACAAAGCUCUAGGCAGAUAUUAAUGGAGUUUAAUAACCCACUUUCUGCAUUUCCAUUUUGUUAAAGUCUUCUCUAAUACAGGACGCCGCUCUUAUUCAGCAGGAGAUAAUUAUUUUAAACCGCUUGUUGCUUCAUGGCAUGACCGACACCACAGAGUGUUUAUUAAUGCACUGCGUUCUGGAGCCACAGUGGACUCUCUGUUUCGCCCCCAAGCUGGUGAAAGGCGCUCGAUGUAACACGAACACAAAGCGCACCAGGCUUGCUCUUUGUGUUUUAUUUUCCUUGUCGGAUGACGUCUCGGGGUCUACACAGACCUCGCUGAGUUCUCCGUCAUCCAGUCCGAGAGAGAUGUGAAUCACGGACGCGGAGAGAGUUCGUCCGUUCGUCACACGAUCUUCUCAUGGUCCUCGGGGUUCUCUGUCGUCCGUGCCGUUCCGCGUCUUCUGUGAAGUAUGGACGCGAGACAGAACCGGCGUUCUAGCGUUUACGUGGAAAUAUGACGUGAACGGUUCAGUGGUCCCGAGACGGAAGAGUUACUGCAGUGGAAUAUGAAUGAAAAGGUUCCUCUUGGAUAUGGCACGGUUCUCCGGUUCUUGGAUCUGCUCUGUUGUCAGGUUCUACGUUGAAUCUUUCAAACUUUUUUUUCAAGAGUGCAGACGACUCGUUCUUGUGGAUGUCAGCGCUUCAAGUUCGGCGAUGUCGACUAGUCGAGUGUUGAUGUUGACGUGGGUGUGAAAGUCCGGCUAAGUGUCAUUUUGAUCAUACGGCGUCUUUUUGUAGUAAUGUUCCAGCACAUCCGUGAGAACGUGGUGAUUUCUCCCAGCGGUUUUAGCUCAGUUCUAGCUGGGGAGGUGUUUCCAACCUCAGGUUUAGCCUAUGAUGUCAUAGCAACAUGGCUGCUCAUAUCAUCAGCAGUAAAUAAAAAAGCUUCUAUAUCUAAUAGAGUAUUCGCUUUGAGAAGGAACAUCAUCAUUUAGUUAUAAGCACCAACGUUAGCUGGCUAGCCUGUUGCUCAGAAAAGACAAGCUGUAACUGAGGCGUCCAUGCCCCCCCCCCCCCCCCCCCCCCCCAAAUAUAGAUCAAACAAGGUGGAGCUCGGAAAGGGCGCCAUUUCCAAGUUACGGCUUUCCCCUUCCGGGGUAAAUCAGGUCUUCGUCUUUAGCUAAUAAUGUUUGUUGCACGUUUUUAAUAGUUUAAAAAGUUCUGUUCUCUCGGAUCUAAACGUCCAGCCUGAUCUUUGAGGAGGUCAUGCAGGUGCUCAAGGAGAAGAUCCGUUCCCCCCGCCGAACUCCUUUAUCUAUUAUCGUAACAGAGAAGUGUGAGGGACUGGAAGAACGUGUGCGGGUCAUGUUAGCGAGGGCGUCGUAAACACACAGCCGUUCCUAACGAUCUGUCCAAUUAGCAGCGUCCGUGCCCCAGUUGUUCACCGUAGCCGUGAAGAAGGUCGUUAAAAUCCUGAGCCGAGACGCGGCCACGCCGCAGAGCCACGUGCGGUCCGGCGGGUGAACGAGGAGGCGGCGGACAGUGACGGAUGGCGGCGAGGUGGUGAAUGGGUCGGGCUCAGGAGGUGGUAAGGGGGCGGGGUUUUGAGAAACCGCACCGUUACCGAGACCCAUAAAUGAACCACGAAUGCUUUUAUUUAUCUUUUUACCUUCUCCUUUCAUUUCUUUAUUUUCUCUGCCUUGCGCCUGGGAUUCGCUCCUCUCCGGAACCGUUCGGGUUCUCCCCGAAUUUCUCUGUUUUCGCUUGCAUUCCCACUCCUGUGGGGUUUUUUGUUGUUUUUUUUUGUCCUCGUGGGCCUCCUCUUGAAUCCGUGAGCAUGUAUUGAACAUAAAUGAAUCUUUCUGCUCACUUCUUUUAUUGUUGUUCUGCUUCCUUUUGGGAUUGAAGUGAAGGAGCUGCCUGUAUUCGACUCCUCAGGCGAUGGUGCUCGUCUGCCUUUGAGACUUUGCGUUAAGAAGAUCUUAGUGACUGCACCGUUCUUCGGAUCUUAAGUCUUGUCUGUGGCUCUGCGCCCGGCGUUUUCAUUUUCAUGACGGAAAAUAGGGCGGGCCGAGUCGAGGAAGGCGAGGCGAGUCGCGUCGUAUCGAAACGUGUCGUUCGCGGUCCCACCGGCCGGCCCGAUGUCACCUGGCACUACCUUGUUGGCUUACCUGAUGGUCAGGAUCUAGAACACGGUGACUAAGGAGUUCAAGUGCACUUACGUCAUGAAGAACCCCAAGCUGACUCGAUGCCUGUGUGUUAGACGUCAGUGCUUUGGACAGUAAGGGGACGGUUUAGGAUCUACUCUGUUGGAUAUUUAAAUUAUAGCGUAUAAGAUGUGCACGGUGUACAUCGCGACGUUGCCAAGACACUAGCGUAUACUAAAGACGUUAACCCCGGAGGUCUUAUUAAACAAGUAUUCCAUCACCACACCGGCUUUCACUCCUCAGAAACACCCUCCUACUGCCAGCGUGCUGCGUCUUCAGAAGUCAGCCACGUGGAGGUGCUUCAGAUUCAGAUCAGGUUUCUGAGACGUUAGAUUCAGACGUGACUCGGUAUCUUUCCUAAAUGCGAAGACAUCUACUACAAGUGUCAACAAAGACCAAAGUUGUGUCUUAAAAAAAAAAAAUUCAAAAAUUGAUAAAACGUAACUCUUGGAGUUUGACGCUUGUGGGCGUGGCCUGGUGUAUGAAUGUAUGUAACGAUGUAUGAAUCAAUAUAAAAUUCAUAAACAGCAUGACGGUCUUACUUUUUGUUUAGAUUUAAAAAAAAAAAAUUCUCGCUAAACUCAAGAUGGCGCUUCUUCCGUUUUUGAGGUAGGAACUCGGGGAACUUUUAAGAAAGCGUUGUGUUUUUCUUGGUGAAAAAGGACAACUGGCUGUAGGGUUGGGCCAAGGAGUUCACCAGUGUGGACAAAAGUAAUGGCACCCUAAAAUCGCAGUGUCUGAGCUGGAAGAUUUAGCACACGGCAUGUUUAGGAGGUCCUCUUUCACCUUUUAGUCACCGCUUUGCCGUUUUCAGCUUUUUGUGGGCGUGGCUAAAUGUAAAUGAUUGAAUUUACGGCCGAUGGGCGUACGCAGGUGAUUACUCAGCUUCGGUAUUUUGGGACUGUUUCCCCCGCG